rnacentral:rRNA from 1 species
CGCGUAGGCGGACCUUCAAGUCGGAUGUGAAAUCUUGCAGCUCAACUGCAAGCCUGCAUUCGAAACUGGCGGUCUCGAGUACAGUAGAGGAAAGCGGAAUUCCAGGUGUAGCGGUGAAAUGCGUAGAUAUCUGGAAGAACACCAGUAGCGAAGGCGGCUUUCUGGGCUGAUACUGACGCUGAAGCGCGAAGGCUUGGGUAGCAAACAGGAUUAGAUACCCUGGUAGUCC